GGGGUAAAGGCCUACCAAGGCAACGAUCAGUAGCUGGUCUGAGAGGACGACCAGCCACACUGGAACUGAGACACGGUCCAGACUCCUACGGGAGGCAGCAGUGGGGAAUUUUGGACAAUGGGGGCAACCCUGAUCCAGCAAUGCCGCGUGUGUGAAGAAGGCCUUCGGGUUGUAAAGCACUUUUGUCAGGAACGAAACGGGAUUGGCUAAUAUCUGAUCCUAAUGACGGUACCUGAAGAAUAAGCACCGGCUAACUACGUGCCAGCAGCCGCGGUAAUACGUAGGGUGCAAGCGUUAAUCGGAAUUACUGGGCGUAAAGCGUGCGCAGGCGGUUAUGUAAGUCUGUCGUGAAAUCCCCGGGCUCAACCUGGGAAUUGCGAUGGAGACUGCAUGGCUAGAAUCUGGCAGAGGGGGGUAGAAUUCCACGUGUAGCAGUGAAAUGCGUAGAGAUGUGGAGGAACACCGAUGGCGAAGGCAGCCCCCUGGGCUAAGAUUGACGCUCAUGCACGAAAGCGUGGGGAGCAAACAGGAUUAGAUACCCUGGUAGUCCACGCCCUAAACGAUGUCUACUAGUUGUCGGGACUUGAUUGUCUUGGUAACGCAGCUAACGCGUGAAGUAGACCGCCUGGGGAGUACGGUCGCAAGAUUAAAACUCAAAGGAAUUGACGGGGACCCGCACAAGCGGUGGAUGAUGUGGAUUAAUUCGAUGCAACGCGAAAAACCUUACCUACCCUUGACAUGUCAGAAAUCCCUGAGAGAUUGGGGAGUGCUUGAAAGAGAAUCUGAACACAGGUGCUGCAUGGCUGUCGUCAGCUCGUGUCGUGAGAUGUUGGGUUAAGUCCCGCAACGAGCGCAACCCUUGUCAUUAGUUGCUACGCAAGAGCACUCUAAUGAGACUGCCGGUGACAAACCGGAGGAAGGUGGGGAUGACGUCAAGUCCUCAUGGCCCUUAUGGGUAGGGCUUCACACGUCAUACAAUGGUACAUACAGAGGGCCGCCAACCCGCGAGGGGGAGCUAAUCCCAGAAAGUGUAUCGUAGUCCGGAUUGUAGUCUGCAACUCGACUACAUGAAGUUGGAAUCGCUAGUAAUCGCGGAUCAGCAUGUCGCGGUGAAUACGUUCCCGGGUCUUGUACACACCGCCCGUCACACCAUGGGAGCGGGUUUUACCAGAAGUAGGUAGCUUAACCGCAAGGAGGGCGCUUACCACGGUAGGAUUCGUGACUGGGGUGAAGUCGGAACAAGGUA
rnacentral:rRNA from 1 species